ACGUGUGCGUGUGCUGAACACACACCUGUAUACCUGUACGAGGGUGCGCGCAUGCAGUUUAUAGGGAAGUGUGUGUGUGUGCUGUGCACGUGUUAUGUGUACCUGCUGCAUAGUCCACGUUUAUGCACGUCCACGUACUUAUAAAGAGGCAUGUGUGUAUGUACAUGCGUGUGUACACACUUGCGCAUCCCGUGGACUCUCGCGGGCCUCACUGACACGGUCACCUGACUAUGACAGUUGAGCACGGGCUCUGUGCCAGAAAGGGAGCCAGCCGCUUAUCCUUUCAGUAUCUCCCUUUAAGUGUCACAGCUUCCCAGGAGGGUGGGUGAUGCUGCUGUUCCCCAGGGACGUGCCUGAGGGUCACAGAGGUUCGGCCUGCUCCUGGGCCCCGGGGAGUUCUGACAGCCGCUCGCAUGCUCCCGUGUGACUCUCACAGGCAGUGCUGAGGGCCAGGGACCAGAUGCGGCCCCUUCCACUUUUCGAAAUCCCAGCCAAGGCCGACUGACUUCAGGACAGCAGUUAUUGUGGGGUGGGGGUGGGCCCACAUGGGGACGUUGGCACGCGGGAGUGCAAGGAUGGUCUGGGCGGUCCUAGAGAGGGCUCCCUGCUCUGUCCCUGCUCGUCACCCCCUUCCCAGCCGGGGAAACCCGAAGCCGCCUUCAACCAGGGAGAUGAGCAGUCCCGUGGUCUCUCCGGAGCUAUUCUAAACUUUCACCCCACAGGACAUGGCAGCAGCUGGAGCCAGAGGCGCAGGACACUUCCUCCCGCCCUCCCUCCCACCAACAUCUCUCUGCCCAUCCAUGUCUCUUUCUCCUUCCUUCCACCUCCAUCUCCCUCCCUCCCCGUCUAUCUCCCCCGGUCCCCCGUUACUUUCUGCAGAGAGACCCCCAGGUUCCCUCAGACCCUGACUCAGGCAGCCAGCCAGAGUGGCUCACAGCAGCUACUCCUGCUUGACCCCUCCCCACACCCACCCCCACUUCCAUUUGAGGGGGAAGGGUGGCUACCCUUCCCUGUCUGGGAUCUUCGGGUGAAUGACCAAUCUCUGAAAAACAGCUGCUGCUGUGUGAGGAUCGCGGGUUAACACAGAAAGUGCUGGAACAGUGCCUGGGCAGGAGAAGUUUUAUUUGCCAUCACUCUUGCUGGUAGAAUCGUUAGUAUGGUUAGGGAGGGUGACCGUCCCGGUGUGCCCGGGAGUGGCCCAGUCUUAGGAUUGGCAGUCCAGGCAAACCAGGGUGGCCAGUCACAUCGUAUAGCGUUGAGCCUGUGCUUGCUCUCUCAUCCCCCAUGCAGCUUGAAAGGAGAUCCGCCCCCUCCUUUCUUCCUUCACUGUCGCCCUUCACUCAUUCAUCCACUCACCCCUUUGUUUAGCUCCUUUCUUCACCGAGCAUUUAUUAAGCACUUACUACACGGCGGACAUUCCUCCGGGUCCUAGGGACAUAAGAGCAGAGAGAGCGGGGUAGGAUCCCUGCCUGACAGGCCCUCCUGUGCUAGGGCUGGAGCAGACAAGUAACCAAUAGGAUGCAGUUAUUGUUCGGGGAGAUGUCACAGGGACUUCUGCAGCAGGAGAGGGGUGGGAGGAGGGGCACGGUCGCAAAAGGGGCUGACUGCCCAGGGCCCUGCUGGUGGCUUCCCAGGUGACCCCGCUCCCCAGGGGAUGCCAGGCCAUGUCUGGAGACAUCUGUGGUUGUCAUGACUAUGGGUGCUUCUGGCAUGAGUCGGUGAGGUUGGGGAGGCUGCUCAGCCCCCACAGUGCCCAGGACGGCCCCCUCACAGAGAAGGUCUGGCCUCACUGUCCCCAGUGCCGAGGGGGGACCCUACACUAAUGUUCUUCUGAUCUGUUGGUUCCUGCAGAGUCCUGUGAGGGCGGGGACUCUCCCGGUCACUCUGCAGCCUGAGAUGACCUGGACUGGGGCAGCGGGGCGGGGCUGAGACAAGGUUUGGGUUGGAAAUGACAGAUGCGGUGCCGAGCUGGGACUCGGGGGCUGGGGCCCAGUUGUGGUGGCCUCUACUUCUCGUACCUCUUCCCAGAGAUUUUAUCUUGUCACUGUCACGGCCUCUAUUGUGGAUUGAGUUCCCCAGCGAUGCCAAGAACGAGGACUUGCGUACAGGUUGAUGAUCUGAGCGAUGCAGACUACAGCACCGCGUGGCGGCGGCGAGACAGGUGUCUAUCCAAAAGAACUGAAAACGGACUCACAUACUUGUACACAAGUGUUUACAGAAGCAUCACUCGCAAUGCUCAAAAGGCAGAAACCCGCAGAUUCCAUCAACAGACGAAUAGAUUGACACAAGUGGUCCCUCGAGACAAUGUGAUACUCUUCAGCCUCAAAAAGGACGUUCUGACACCUGCUACAGUGUGGAUGGAUCUUGCUGUAUGACAUGAUGCUCAGUGAAGUAAGAAAUAAACCAGGUACUGUAUGAAACUACUCACACGAGGUCCCUAGAGGAGUCAGACCCACAGAGACAGCACGCAGAAUGGUGGGGGUGGGGAGUUAGUGUUCAAUGGGGACUGUCAGUUUGGGAUGAUGAGAAAAUCCUGGUGAUGUGUAGGGGGUUUGGGGGAGAUGGCUGCACGACAUGUGCUUAAUGCCGCUGAAUCGUAAUGGUGAAAAUGGAAAACUUAUACAUAUUUUGCCACUAUUUAAAGAAACGGCGGUAGCACGUAGAGUCCCACUGACUAGCUCUGCAGACAAGGGCGGGCUUCGACUGCAGAAUUCUAGAACGCUACAAGUCCUCUUGCUGUACUCCCGUUGCCUCCUUUGCUUUGUCCUGGGGUUGGCGAGCUCAUUCUUGGCAGGACUGGAGGCACGGAUGCCUCAGCAGGGAGGGAGGGUUACAAAUCUAUGCCGAGUUUAAGGUCAUCCGGCAGACGUAACUCUGGGAAGGUAUCCCCGUGGGGAAAGAUGGACACUGUAACGAAGGAAAAGCGGGGUAUAGCCAGGGAUGUGGAAGCAGCUCUCAGUUGGAUGUAGGUGUACGUGUGCAUGUGUGUGUACAGAAGACACACUUGCACCUAAGUAGGCCCUUCCUGACCCCCAAGGAUGCGGUAUGGCGCUGGGUGCUGGAAGUGGGCGCCGUCGCCAGCCCCGGCCAUGCCAGUCCUUGCCAUAGGACUGUGCUUGUCCACACCCCUUGCCAUGUGUGUUCGCGAGGUAGGCUCAUCGGCGAACAUAUCCCUGCCCCUCUGACCCUGCGGUUGAAACAACCGUCAUUCAACUGGCUCCUUGUUCUGUAAGUCAGCAAUUUGGACUGGGCCCAGGGGGCACUCACGUUUCUGGGGUCUUUUAGUGGGUGGGCUGUGGGCAUCUCCACUGUAAACUACUCCUCCUUCCAUCCUGUUCUCUUCAGAAGGAAGUCACUGCCCGGCCCACACCUAGUGGGUAGAAGUCAUGCUCCUUCUUGACGGCCGAGGACUCAUGUAAAUUAUUGUGACCGUUUCUGCCUGGGAGAUCUGUCUGUUCUCCCAUUUAUUAAUCAUUUGUUUGUAGCAAUACAGCGUCACGGACAUUUUGGUUAUCUUUUGGGUUAUAAUCCGAUACUGCUUCAUCUUGUCGCAGAUGUCGUUCCAGCCUUGGGCAUGAGAGCUCUCUUAGUUGCUUUCUCUGUCCCUGUGAUACAUUCUCAUCAUUGUGGAUCUCUCAGCACUUACCGCCGGGUGCUACAGGCCUCCCCAGGCUCCAGGCACACCUCCUGCCCGGGACUAGAAUCGGCCAUUUCUCCACGGAGCUCUGGUGCCUUUUGUCAGAGAAUGGUUAGAAACCAAGCCCAGACGCUGGGUGUUGUGGACUGGUAAGCGUUCCACAUCAUGGGACAGGGACAUGUGAUGCGCAUCUGCACAAAUGGCUGCUGUUGGGUAACGUUAAAGAUGCUGGCGUAUUAAGGACACGUUGGUCUCUAAAAUCAUAGACCCGGAAUCUUUGCUGUUCUCAGGCCUGUCACAUGGUGAGAAGGCACCAUCUUGCUCUCUCACCUGGAGGGUCUGGAGCCUGUAGGUCACUGACCCAGAGAAGCAGCCUGAAUUCCCAGCCCAGGUGCGGAACUUCAAAUAAAGAGCGUCCAGAACAGCGCUCCACUUGGCGGUUCCUGGGGACGCAGAAGCCUGCGCCGGCGUCUCUGCCCCAGCUUGAUGCCAGCCUGUCCACUCACGGCUCUGCCUACCUUUGAACCCAUCAAACUAUGUUUCGUGUAAUUAUUACCUAAACUCUACCUCCCAGUCCUAUAAUUUCUGUCUCAUUUUACUUUUUGGUGAGACGCCUCAAUUUCCUCCAUCGCUUGGUCUCCCUUGCUACAGCGAGUUCAUAAACCCAACUUCCUGAGACCGCAGUCGUGUCCCUUCGGGUCCGUUAGGAGUUGCCAGCCUUUCCACGCCCUCCCUGCAGACCUGGUGCCUGUGGUUACCAGGACCACAGGUGAUGCAAGAUGACGUGUCCGUUGCUGGGCCCUCCUCCCCAGCCACCAGGGGCCUGAGGCAGGCUGCCUGGUGUCUCUGGGGCUGGCGGUGCCCAGUUGCUCACCCUGGCACCAAGCGUAGCCCUGGGACCCUGCCUUUCAGCAGCAGAAGCAGAAGGCGUUUCUCUGAUUCUGAGCCAGAUGGCUCGUGCUCUGCCACAGGGGCACCUUAGCAGUCACCUUAUGCACGUGCAUUCAUUGAACAAACAUUGUCGACAAAACCAAGUGGGGAGAACAGAUAACGUUGGAACACCCACCCACCGUUGCUGGGACUAUAAAUUCUUACAAAACUUCGGAAAACUGUUUGGCGUCAACUAUUAAAACCAGCAUACACUUGCCCCAGGACCCAGGAAUUCCAGUUCCGGAUACGUAGCCAAGAGAAACGACAGCACUAGUCCACCAAAUUGCUGUUCUCAGGCCUGUCACGUGGUGAGAACAUACACAAGAACAUGCACGAGAACAUACACAAUACAGAGAAAUUACACAUCAUCAGAGCAAAAGCUUUUUGUGCUUCAAAGACCAUCAUGGAGAAAAUGAAAAGACAACCCACAGAAUCGGAGAAAACAUUUGCACGUCAGAUAAUCUGGUAGAGGACAUCUGUCUAGAAUAUGUGAAAAACUCGUAAUAAUGAUCCCAAUUUAAAAAGAGGAUACAAGUCUGAAUAGACGUUUCUCCAAAGGAGAUGCCCAGAUGGGCAACGAGCUCCUGAAAAGACGCUCAGCAGAACUAGCCAUCAGGGAAGCGCAAAUGGCAACCACAGCGAGAUGGCGCUUCGUACCCACCGUGAUGGCUAGGAUCAAAAACACGUAACGUCGAGUGUCAGAGAGGACGUGCAGAAAUUGGAAUUAUACGUUGCUGAUGGGAAUGUGAAACGGUGCAGCUGCGCUGAAAAUAGUCUGGAAGUUCUUCAAAAGGUGAGACAUAGAGUUACCGGAUGUUUGGAAAAAUGAAAAUAGAUGUCCAGACAAACACUUGUACGUGAAUGUUCACAGCAGCAUUCUUCAUAAUUGCCAACAAGUGGAAACAUCCCGAAUACCCAUCAUCGAGAGAUGAAUGGACACACACAAUGAAUGGUCCGUCCACACGGGGCGGUGUCACUUGGCCACGAAAAGCGGGGAGGCGCUGACACUCGCCACGACGUGGACAGACCC